rnacentral:lncRNA from 1 species
UGUUCUUUUUUUUUUUUUUUCUUCCCUUUUAUUAUUUAUACCUGAACCUGAAGAAGUACUGAAAUGGCGAAACAUCUCACCAAGGAUUCCUUUCACGAAGGAAUAAAGAUUUGGCCCUUAAACUUUUUACAAUGGGUCAAUGCAGACAUUUUUCUUUACUUUUAUGGCCAAAUAGGUGCUCCCUCUAUUUUAAAAUGAAAGUGCUAAGAAUCUUCUCUCUUUUUCUAAUCAUUUGUUUUAUUAGUAUAAUUAUUUUUUAGACAAAGUAUUCACUACAAAUAUAAAAAGAAAAAUACAAGUAAUAUUAAG